GACGAACGCUGGCGGCGUGCUUAAUACAUGCAAGUCGAACGGAGCCUAGCCGGUAGUUUACUACAGGCGAAAGCUUAGUGGCGGACGGGUGAGUAACGCGUGGGCAAUCUGCCCCUAAGUCCGGGAUAACAGAGCGAAAGUUCUGCUAAGACCGGAUACUCUUCCUUGGUCGCAUGGCGGAGGAAGGAAAGGAUACGCUUAGGGAUGAGCCCGCGUCCCAUUAGCUAGUUGGUGAGGUAACGGCCCACCAAGGCGACGAUGGGUAGCCGGCCUGAGAGGGUGGACGGCCACACUGGGACUGAGACACGGCCCAGACUCCUACGGGAGGCAGCAGUAGGGAAUUUUCCGCAAUGGGGGAAACCCUGACGGAGCAACGCCGCGUGAGGGAAGAAGGCCUUCGGGUCGUAAACCUUUAGUCAUCGAGGACGAUAAUGACGGUACUCGAGGAGGAAGCCCCGGCUAACUACGUG
rnacentral:rRNA from 1 species